rfam:Moniliophthora roreri MCA 2997 sctg_0507_0001, whole genome shotgun sequence.
GGGCGCUUAGCUCAGGGGUAGAGCGCUCGCUUCGCAUCUAUGCCCUGGUAUUGCGAGAGGUCGUGGGUUCAAAUCCCACAGUGUCCA